rnacentral:rRNA from 1 species
GCCUAUUAGGUGGGGGAUAACGAAUACGAAAGGUUCGCUAAUACCGCAUACGUCCGUACGGAGGAAAGGGGGGGAUCUUCGGACCUCUCGCUAAUAGAUGAGCCUAGGCCGGAUUAGCUAGUUGGUAGGGUAAAGGCCUACCAAGGCGACGAUCUGUAGCUGGUCUGAGAGGAUGGCCAGCCACACUGGAACUGAGACACGGUCCAGACUCCUACGGGAGGCAGCAGUGGGGAAUAUUGGACAAUGGGGGCAACCCUGAUCCAGCCAUGCCGCGUGUGUGAAGAAGGCCUUCGGGUUGUAAAGCACUUUAAGCGAGGAGGAAGGUUUUUAGUUUAAUACACUAAAGAAUUGACGUUACUCGCAGAAUAAGCACCGGCUAACUCUGUG